rnacentral:siRNA from 1 species
GGACCGCCUUGAAUUAUA